rnacentral:sRNA from 10 species
CUUAACUUGUGGUUGAUAAUUUCCGGUUGAGUUAGUUUUUUUUUUCAAGUGCAAAAUCAAGACCGAAUAAGUACCAGGACAUGGAUUUUUUUUUGCCAGGUUAUGACGGAGGCUGAUUUAGGCCUUGCAGAAGCAUUUAUUAAUGGAGAUUUUCUUUUGUUGAUAUACUUAUUGCCAAUAGGGAUUUAAAUUCUUCAGUCUCUAGACUGAACAAGAGAAGGUUUCGUAUAACUUCCAAAGAAUGUAGACUGUGAUACAUACUAGCAUAAUACUUUCUUCUUUCGGUACAAUUGUUCAUAUCCAUACCAGAAGAAGGCUACGAUGAGUACAGGCCAAGUUCAGAUUCUAUCAAGGAAUACAUAUUUCCCUGGUGGAUGCGUGCCUUCCCUGAAUAGGAUAAUCUCAGCCAUGGCUGCUGCGUCCAGACUCUGGAUACAUUCAACGAAGGAUGAGACGUCAUCUUGGAUUUUCACGCCUUGGAAAUGU